GUAGAUAGGUAGACAGGUACGUAGACAGGUAGACAGGUACGUUGAUAGGUAGACAGGUACGUUGAUAGGUAGACAGGUAGACAGAUACGUCGAUAGGUAGACAGGUACGUAGAUAGGUAGACAGGUAGACAGGUACGUAGAUAGGUAGAUAGGUAGACAGGUAGACAGGUACGUUGACAGGUAGACAGGUAGACAGAUACGUCGAUAGGUAGACAGGUACGUAGAUAGGUAGACAGGUACGUAGAUAGGUAGACAGGUAGACAGGUAUGUUGAUGGGUAGACAGGUAGACAGGUACGUUGAUAGGUAGACAGGUACGUCGAUAGGUAGACAGGUAGACAGGUAGAUAGGUAGACAGGUAGACAGGUACGUCAAUAGGUAGACAGGUAGACAGGUAGACAGGUAAGAGUCUGAGGAUUAGCAGCUGAACCUUAAUAAGACCUUAAAGUCCGUCCUGGCUUCCUGUGGAUCUGUCGAUCAUACCGUGGCUUCUUGUUGGUUUUCUC